rnacentral:rRNA from 1 species
GAUUUCUGACUUGAAACAUUUUGCCGGCCACGGUUUCGUGUGUUAGUGCUUGAUGUUCUGGUCAUCCUUCCAAUCGCUAUCGGCUCGUCUUCAUUGCCGGGUCGCGUAGUAUUGGAUCUUUUACUUUGAAAAAAUUAGAGUGUUUCAAGCAGGCUUUAUGCUAUGAAUACAUUAGCAUGGAAUAAUAAUUUAGGACUUCGGUUCUAUUUUGUUGGUUUCUAGGACUGAAGUAAUGAUUGAUAGGGACAGUUGGGGGUGCUAGUAUUCAGCGGCCAGAGGUGAAAUUCUCGGAUUCGCUGAAGACUAACUUAUGCGAAAGCAUU